rnacentral:rRNA from 1 species
GAUGAACGCUGGCGGCGUGCCUAAUACAUGCAAGUCGGGCGAACAGACGAGGAGCUUGCUCCUCUGACGUAAGCGGCGGACGGGUGAGUAACACAUGGAUAACCUACCUAUAAGACUGGGAUAACUUCGGGAAACCGGCGCUAAUACCGGAUAAUAUAUUGAACCGCAUGGUUCAAUAGUGAAAGACGGUUUUGCGGUCACUUAUAGAUGGAUCCGCGCCGCUUUAGCUAGUUGGUAAGGUAACGGCUUACCAAGGCAACGAUGCGUAGCCGACCUGAGAGGGUGACAGGCCACACUGGAACUGAGACAAGGUCCAGACCCUUACGGGAGGCAGCAGUAGGGAAUCUUCCGCAAUGGGCGAAGGCUUGACGGAGCAACGCCGCGUGAGUGAGGAAGGUCUUCGGAUCGUAAAACUCUGUUAUUAGGGAAGAACAAAUGUGUAAGUAACUAUGCACGUCUUGACGGUACCUUAUCAGAAAGCCACGGCUAACUACGUG